rnacentral:rRNA from 1 species
AUACGAAGGGGGCAAGCGUUGUUCGGAAUAACUGGGCGUAAAGCGCACGUAGGCGGAAUGUUAAGUUAGAGGUGAAAUCCCGGGGCUCAACCCUGGAACUGCCUUUAAUACUGGCAAUCUAGAGACCGAGAGAGGUGAGUGGAAUUCCGAGUGUAGAGGUGAAAUUCGUAGAUAUUCGGAGGAACACCAGUGGCGAAGGCGGCUCACUGGCUCGGUACCGACGCUGAGGUGCGAAAGCGUGGGGAGCAAACAGGAGUAGAAACCCUAGUAGUCC